rnacentral:tRNA from 1 species
GAUUCCGUAGCUCAGCUGGAAGAGCGCUACGUUGACAUCGUAGAGGUCGUUGGUUCAAGCCCAAUCGGAAUCACCA